rnacentral:tRNA from 1 species
UAAAAAGAAGCGAUAUAUCGCAGUCAGUUUCGGCCUGACUUUAGGAGAACCCUUUUUAA